AACGAACAUUCCUAGAAAGUAAGGCAGAAGUAUGAGACGUUUUUGUGAUCUAACCACGGAAGUCACAUAAUCACUUCUGCCGUAUUCUAUAGGUUGACUAAGUCACAGAUGUCCUUUCAGGUUCAAGAGAAGGGGACACAGACCUUUACACCAAUUGGAAGGGGCAUGUCAAGGUUACAUUGAAGAAGAAUAUUUGGGAUGCAAGAUACAGCAGUGUCCAUCUAUGGAAAAUAUAGUCUGCACCAGAUGUGUACUAAAGAAUUUGUAGGAAAACUAAAAAUGCCUAUGGCAUGAUAGUCAUAAUCAUGAAGAAAAAUCUUCAAGUUCUUUUUCUCAAGAUAGAGAUUUUAAUAAGACAUUUUGGAAAGAUUUAAAAGUUUUUAACUAUUUAAUUUAAUUGGGAGCCUCUACUUAUUUUCUUAGUUUUGAGAUGACUGAUAAACAGGAGUUUCCCACCUACACAAGAAGAUGUGUCUGCAGAAAAUGAAUUAAGAACAUAUGGGCACUCCGCUUCAGUCACACUAAAUUCCUCUUUGACCCAUGUCCCAGGCUUAGCCUAUAUAUUCAGUAGACUGUCUCCUUUCUUGCAGUACCUUCUUUUAGCACCUUUCUUUUCUUUUUAAAAACAUUUCUUAUAAUUUCAAAACUAGUACUAUUAUUUGUCAUUUUAGGAGUUGGUGAUGUUCAGAAAUGUGGCUAUAUAGAUGUCUCUCAGGAGGAAUGGGAAUGCCUGAACCCAGCGCAGAGAAAUUUGUACAAGGAGGUGAUGUUGGAGAAUUAUAGCAACUUGGUGUCACUUGGACUUUCUGUUUCUAAGCCAGCCGUAAUCUCCUCACUGGAGCAAGGGAAAGAGCCCUGGAUGGUUGUGAGGGAAGAGACAGGAAGAUGGUGCCCAGGUGACUGAGCAAGCACAGGAAGCUCUUGCAGAGAGCAGGUACAUGGAAAACUUGGGGAUUUCACAAUAAUUUCUUGAACAAUAAUGAGGCUACAGACAUAAAAGCAGUCACUCUGCCCUCAACAGGACUCCUCUGGGAAUGCAGAUGGAACCGGAAUGGUAGACAAAACUGGGGAAAGACAAUCACCUCUCCUUCUGUGACAAGAAUAUUCCCGGACUCUCCAGGGAUAGGGAGAUUCCUAGGUUCAGGUAUCAGGAAGUUUCUUCCCAGAAAACUGUUGGUCCCAUAGGAGAAUUGAUCCACCUCCUUCCCAGAGAUCAGCAUUGCCUAAAGGAAAACUAGAAUUGUUAUAGCAAGAAUGUAAACACUAAGAAACAAGUCAACUUUCUGGUUUUUUAAUGUUAAAACAACAACAACAACUCUUGAAGCCCCUGGGGCAUAGGUUGGUGUAGCCAGAUAAAGAUUGCCUGGGAUGGAAGGCAUGGAGAGAAUGGGAUCAAGUGAUACUUUGCAGGAGGUCAUUUGGUCUGACCAGAGCAAACCACCAGGAAGGAAGCAACCUUCGACGUGAUGGUAUUUGAAGGCGGGGCCAUUGGGAGGUAAUUAGGUUUAUAUGACAUCAUGAGGAUGGGACCCUCAUGAUGAGGUUAGCGCCCUUAUCAGAAGAAGAAGAGACCAGAACAUACUCCCUUUCUCCAUCGUGUGAGGACACAGCAAGAAGGUAGCCAUCUGCAAACCAGGAAGAGGGCCCUUCCUCACCAGAUCCCAAAUUUGCAGACACCUUGAUCUUUGACUUCUCAGCCUCCAGAACUGUGAGAAAGAAAUGUCUGUUGUUUAAGCCACCUCAGUCUAUGGUACUUUGUUACAGCAGCCUGAAUUGAGUCAGACAUUCAGCAUCGGGAGGUGGCCAGCAGGGAACUGAAUGAAAGCUGACCCAACACCUACAGUACCAGUCCCCAUUCAGGUGAGCACUGGCUGCCUUUGUGGAAGAACCACUCCGACAGUUCUGCCUUCAGCCACCGUCCAGCAAAGGCCUCCCAUCCACUGCUGUAUCCUGGUGGCUCUAUGACUGUAGACUUGCUGACUUUACUGUGAGCUGCCUGAUGUGGAUAACAGAUAACUCCCACUUCAAUGGCCCAAAUACUCACCGGCCUUCACAUUUCCAUCCUGGGGAUGAAUCAUAAUUCACCCAAACAUCUCCCCUAUUCCCAGAUGUUUACAUUGUUUUCAGGUUUCCAUUAGUACAUUUAAUACUUCAAUGAACAUUUUGCACAUAAAGCUUUUACUGCAUAACUUCCAACUCUAAAAUAUCUGGUAUUCUUUGACAAAACCUAGUAAUGGCUAUUUCUUUGAGUUCAGGAUACCACGUCUCAAGCACUAUUCUCUUCUCAAAAGAUACAAUUAAAGUUCUUUUUAUGAAAUUCAAUACCUGUUGAUGAAAAAAACUCUCAGCAAGCAAAGAAUAAAAGGGAAUUUUCUUAAUCUAAUAAUAGGCACCUACCAGAAACCUCAACAUCUUACUUAAUGCUUCUUUUAAAAGUCAAGAAUGAGGUAUGGGUGUUAUGAGUGUUCAUUAUCACUGCUUCUAAAACACUUCUGUUGGCACUUCAACACUAGAAGUCAUAGAAAGGAAAAAAAAGGAAAGAGACUGCUGCCUCUUCCAGGAUGUAGAGAAGCAGGCAUUCUCAUUCACUGCUUGUAUAACUUCAACCUUUAAGAAUGGCAAUUUGGAGAUAUACGUAUCUUAAAAAUGGACAUAUGUCCUGACCCUUCAACUCCACUUCUAUACGCAUAUCCUAAGAAAAUAAUUCGGGCUAUGUACAUACAUGUAACAAGAUACUGUCUCUACUACUAUCUAGUCAGAAACCUCCUAUUUGACAAGGUACUGGUUAUGUGAAUUCUGGCAUGAACACAUUAUGGAAUAUUAGUCACUAAAAAUCGUACUGUAUAAGAGCAUUUACCAGAAAGACAGCUUAAACUACCAUGUUCAACAUAACUUUUUCGUAGAUAAGGCAUGUACACACAUACACAAACGUACUGGAAAGAUCUAUAUCUAUAUCAGAGUAUUGAUGAUUCCUUAUGCUCUUUUUGUUUUCCCAAUUUUCCAAAACCUGUGACUUUUCUAAUUAGGAGAAAUAAUAUAUUUUAAAUGCUGUAGGCAGCAAAGAAAGUGGCUCAGAAAAGAUGUAAAGAGAGAUUUUAUAUGGGGAGAUGGCAGCAACUAUACAUCUAUUCAUACAGAAUCCUUAAUGCCAUGCAGCUAAACUAUAUUUAUUGUUCAUUUUAUUAAGACAAAAAUAAAUAGUAGAUCUAAAGGUUAAUUUUUGGUAAACUCUCUUAGGUAAACUCUGUGCUUACUCAUAUUCAGGAACCAGCAAUUCUGCAAAUGCUGGGCAGGUCACAGGCCACCCUGCAACCCAGCAAUUAGACUGGGGGAGAUGGACCUUGUUGGGCUGUUUCCCUGGUUCAUGUGACCAAGUGGGGGCUGGGGUUGGGGGUGAAGGAAGAAGGGAGAAGGGACUGUCACAACAGUGUUCCAUGCAUGCACUCAGAAAAUAGCACAACAGUUACAACAGUGAGAAUCUUUAUGCAUAUAACUUUGUGAUCAAUAAAUCCUUCAGAACAACAAGAGACAAAGGAAUACAAUGUCCCAAACAGCUGCAGUCCAUCGGCUGACAUUGCUAACUAGAUUUAGAUCAUCUGGAGGCUUUUGUAAGAGGAACUGAGGUGCAGAGGCAUCAGAAUGAGUUGAUUCCCGGCAAAAGUGCUAAGAGGCUACAG